UGGCUCAGAUUGAACGCUGGCGGCAGGCCUAACACAUGCAAGUCGGACGGUAGCACAGAGGAGCUUGCUCCUUGGGUGACGAGUGGCGGACGGGUGAGUAAUGUCUGGGGAUCUGCCCGAUAGAGGGGGAUAACCACUGGAAACGGUGGCUAAUACCGCAUAACGUCGCAAGACCAAAGAGGGGGACCUUCGGGCCUCUCACUAUCGGAUGAACCCAGAUGGGAUUAGCUAGUAGGCGGGGUAAUGGCCCACCUAGGCGACGAUCCCUAGCUGGUCUGAGAGGAUGACCAGCCACACUGGAACUGAGACACGGUCCAGACUCCUACGGGAGGCAGCAGUGGGGAAUAUUGCACAAUGGGCGCAAGCCUGAUGCAGCCAUGCCGCGUGUAUGAAGAAGGCCUUCGGGUUGUAAAGUACUUUCAGCGGGGAGGAAGGCGAUGCGGUUAAUAACCGCGUCGAUUGACGUUACCCGCAGAAGAAGCACCGGCUAACUCCGUGCCAGCAGCCGCGGUAGUACGGAGGGUGCAAGCGUUAAUCGGAAUUACUGGGCGUAAAGCGCACGCAGGCGGUCUGUUAAGUCAGAUGUGAAAUCCCCGGGCUUAACCUGGGAACUGCAUUUGAAACUGGCAGGCUUGAGUCUUGUAGAGGGGGGUAGAAUUCCAGGUGUAGCGGUGAAAUGCGUAGAGAUCUGGAGGAAUACCGGUGGCGAAGGCGGCCCCCUGGACAAAGACUGACGCUCAGGUGCGAAAGCGUGGGAGC
rnacentral:rRNA from 1 species